AGCCUUUUCUGGUCGCUCAGUUCGGGCUGUGCUCUCCUGUCUUGCACUGGCACUUGUGACUGUGCUAGCAUAGCUGGGCAGAGAGCUUAGCCCUCUCUACAUGGAGCCUUCCCCAGCCAGGCUCAGCUGCCCCUCAGUGGCACCUCUGCCUUGUUCCUACCAGUCACUAUGAAGGAGGUUCAGAGAGAGGGUGGUGCUGGGUGGUUGCCUACCAUCACCUUUCCUUUCCCACCUGCUCACCCUGCAGCCUCUGGACAUCUCGGAUGCUCCCUGAGAGUCCUGGGAUCUCUGGGCAGUCAUGGUGGAGGGGGUUAAUAAGGAAUUGCUGUGUCUAGCUAGGAGUCUGGGAGGGUUGGUACCUAAGAAUGGCUCCAGCUCCUGCCCACCCACCCCCAUCUCCCUUCACUUCCACUUAUUCACUUACCCUCAUUUAGAGCCAUUGCAGAGAUUUAGAAAGAUUUACAGUAACGAAUGAAUUCCUAUAUAAAGAUUAUUUUUAUACUUUUUUCAACAAAAGGAAAUGUAAUAUUUGUACAGCAUUCAAGUGAAUAAAGACAUGCCUAAGGCU
rnacentral:lncRNA from 1 species